AGCCAUCUGUAUCCGUGCUGAGAUUUCGUCACAAACCAGAUCACAAGGGCUGAUGAGACUUCCAAGAUAAGUGAAGCG
rnacentral:pre_miRNA from 1 species